AUACGUAGAUGGCAAGCGUUGUCCGGAUUUAUUGGGCGUAAAGCGAGCGCAGGCGGUUCUUUAAGUCUGAUGUGAAAGCCCCUGGCUCAACCAGGGAGGGUCAUUGGAAACUGGAGAACUUGAGUGCAGAAGAGGAAAGUGGAAUUCCAUGUGUAGCGGUGAAAUGCGUAGAUAUAUGGAGGAACACCAGUGGCGAAGGCGACUUUCUGGUCUGUAACUGACGCUGAGGCUCGAAAGCAUGGGGAGCAAACAGGAUUAGAUACCCUGGUAGUCCAUGCCGUAAACGAUGAGUGCUAAGUGUUGGAGGGUUUCCGCCCUUCAGUGCUGCAGCUAACGCAUUAAGCACUCCGCCUGGGGAGUACGACCGCAAGGUUGAA
rnacentral:rRNA from 1 species